UACGUAGGGUGCGAGCGUUAAUCGGAAUUACUGGGCGUAAAGCGUGCGCAGGCGGUUCGUUGUGUCGGCGGUGAAAGCCCCGGGCUCAACCUGGGAAUGGCCGUUGAAACUGGCGAACUGGAGUGUGGCAGAGGGGGGUGGAAUUCCGCGUGUAGCAGUGAAAUGCGUAGAGAUGCGGAGGAACACCGAUGGCGAAGGCAGCCCCCUGGGCUGACACUGACGCCUCAGGCACGAAAGCGUGGGGAGCAACAGG
rnacentral:rRNA from 1 species